AUUUUUUGAGCAUUGUAUAUUCUGCAAAUAUAUUGGAAAAAUGUGCUCAGCAGGUUACUGCAUUACUGUGCUAAUUUCUACCAUUGUUAGGUGGGCAACGUACAGUACUUUCUGCUACGCCAGUGUCAUUGAACAGCAAUUAAACGCUAACAUGAGCAUGAAAUAAUGAGGCUAACGUAAGUUUAGCUAAAUCACCUCUGUAGUUUGUAGCUACCAGGGUCUGGUUGGACUGCAAAUGAACACGUGCUUAAACCGCUUGAAAUGCUUGAGGUGUCAUACACUCGAGAACCUAGGUUGUGUAUUGUCUGUCAAAGUUUAAUAGCAAGUCAUACGUUCUAUAGUAACUAAGUAAGUUAACUAGCUAACGUUAAUUUAAGAUAAUGGCAAACAGAAAUAAGAUGCCAAGUACUCAGUUAAAGCCAAUUUACGUACCACGGUUUGGUUCUCAAUCGUCACGGUGUAGCAUCAGUCAAAGAGAUGCACAGCAAAUGAAAGAGUAUCACGUCGAGUUGCCAACCGUAAAGGGAAGAAUUCAAGAUGGGUUAUCAACCACAAAAAAACUCAAAUUGAUAAAAAUGAACAGCAAGCUCGCAAUUUCCAAGACGAAACAACACUUUCAACGAAGGUCGAUCACUCCAGAGAAAAUGAACGCUCAAGGAGGAGAGGGAUCACAUAAACAACUGCGAUGGGGACGUCCUGGCGUUGGCCAAAGAGCCUCGUUUCUUCCCUGUUCCUCCAAUACAGGCAGUCCUCAGAGCAUGCUGAGUGAAGACAUCUUCACCUUCUCACAGAGAAUCAAACACACAUCAACCAAUGAACCACAGUGGGCAAUCAGACAGGCUGUGUUGAAAACCAUUGGCCGGAUGCUGCAGGAGAACAGGAGAAUCAGAGAGAGACUAGUCUCAUUUAGCCAGAGCAGUCAGGUUAUAGAAUUAACCUAGACUGAAGCCUAGAUUAUAAUCAGGGAUUCAUCAUGCAUAUUGGUCUCUUCCUCCACCAAACUCAAGAAUGGAAUAGUUUUUUAUAGUUAAGUGUUGUUAUGAUUUAGGUUUAUAAACAAAUAUAAUGUGCUGAAUUAUGCUGAAAAAUGUCAUUGAGUUGGUAUGGGCAGUGUUUUAGGGGUUAUUGAGAGUGGAAUUUCUUCUCUAUGUUAAGUUGCCUUUAUAGGAUGACAUUGGAAAGUAGUUCUGGAUUAAAUAAAUUUAUUGAGGAUGUUGUGUCUUACUUAUGUUGUUUCACAGCCUCCACAAGUUUCUUCAGCUCUUCUAGCAAAGUUGUUGUCUUUCUCCAGUAGAGGGAAGUAUCAUUCUG
ensembl:lncRNA